GGAAACUCUCAGAAAUGUGGCCAUGUUCUGAGUCUGAGUGUCGGUCAUGCUGUCUUGCUGCCCCUCCCUCAGCUGCAUGGUCAUCCUCCUCCUCACUGCUGUUGGGAAGCUGUAACUGCAGUCCCUCUGCUGUCCACUGACUCUGUUCUGAGCUUACUUUCUUAGAAAAUAUGAUGAAAUGUUUGGUAC